rnacentral:rRNA from 1 species
UACGUAGGGUGCGAGCGUUGCCCGGAUUUAUUGGGCGUAAAGGGCGCGUAGGCGGCUCGGCACGUCCGUUGUGAAAUCGCCCGGCUCAACUGGGCGGGGUCAGCGGAUACGGCCGAGCUUGAGCAAGCUAGGGGGCAAUGGAAUUCCCGGUGUAGUGGUGAAAUGCGCAGAUAUCCGGAGGAACACCGGUGGCGAAGGCGGCUUCCUGGACCGACACUGACGCUGAGGCGCGAAAGCUAGGGGAGCAAACGGG